GAUGAACGCUGGCGGCGUGCCUAAUACAUGCAAGUCGAGCGAACGGACGAGAAGCUUGCUUCUCUGAUGUUAGCGGCGGACGGGUGAGUAACACGUGGAUAACCUACCUAUAAGACUGGGAUAACUUCGGGAAACCGGAGCUAAUACCGGAUAAUAUUUUGAACCGCAUGGUUCAAAAGUGAAAGACGGUCUUGCUGUCACUUAUAGAUGGAUCCGCGCUGCAUUAGCUAGUUGGUAAGGUAACGGCUUACCAAGGCAACGAUGCAUAGCCGACCUGAGAGGGUGAUCGGCAACACUGGAACUGAGACACGGUCCAGACUCCUACGGGAGGAAGCAGUAGGGAAUCUUCCGCAAUGGGCGAAAGCAUGACGGAGCAACGCCGCGUGAGUGAUGAAGGUCUUCGGAUCGUAAAACUCUGUUAUUAGGGAAGAACAUAUGUGUAAGUAACUGUGCACAUCUUGACGGUACCUAAUCAGAAAGCCACGGCUAACUACGUG
rnacentral:rRNA from 1 species